CCUACGGGGAGCAGCAGUGAGGAAUAUUGGUCAAUGGCCGAGAGGCUGAACCAGCCAAGUCGCGUGAGGGAAGAAUGUCCUAUGGAUUGUAAACUUCUUUUAUAAAGGAAUUAAGUGAGGCACGUGUGCCUUUUUGUAUGUAUUUUAUGAAUAAGGAUCGGCUAACUCCGUGCCAGCAGCCGCGGUAAUACGGAGGAUCCGAGCGUUAUCCGGAUUUAUUGGGGUUAAAGGGAGCGUAGAUGGGUUGUUAAGUCAGUUGUGAAAGUUUGCGGCUCAACCGUAAAAUUGCAAUUGAUACUGGCAGCCUUGAGUACAGUUGAGGUAGGCGGAAUUCGUGGUGUAGCGGUGAAAUGCUUAGAUAUCACGAAGAACUCCGAUUGCGAAGGCAGCCUACUAAACUGCCACUGACAUUGAUGCUCGAAAGUGUGGGUAUCAAACAGGAUUAGAUACCCCAGUAGUC
rnacentral:rRNA from 1 species